rnacentral:rRNA from 1 species
ACCCCGAACAGGGGAGUGAAAUAGAACCUGAAACCAUACGCUUACAACCGGUCGGAGCAGCUUCGUGCUGUGACGGCGUGCCUAUUGAAUAAUGAGCCUACGAGUUACUAAUCACUAGCGAGGUUAAGUGCAAGGAUGCACGGAGCCGAAGCGAAAGCGAGUCUGAACAGGGCGUUUAGUUAGUGGUUGUAGACGCGAAACCUUGCGAUCUACCCUUGAGCAGGUUGAAGGUUGGGUAAAACCAACUGGAGGACCGAACGAAUAAGCGUUGAAAAGCUUCUCGAUGACUUGAGGGUAGGGGUGAAAGGCUAAUCAAGCUGGGAAAUAGCUCGUACUCCCCGAAAUGCCUUUUGGGGCAGCGUUGUAAUAAAGAGUCUACUGGAGGUAGAGCUACUGAUUGGAUGCGGGGGCUUCACCGCCUACCAAAUCCUGACAAACUCCGAAUGCCAGUAGUAUGAUUUACAGCAGUGAGUGACUGGGUGCUAAUGUCCAGUCGCAAAAGAGGAACAACUCAGACCAGCAACUAAGGUCCCGAAGAAUAUGCUAAGUUGAUCUAACGAUGUUUUGUUGCAGAGACAGCUAGGAUGUUAGCUUGGAAGCAGCUAUUCAUUCAAAGAGUGCGUAACAGCUCACUAGUCGAGCGACAGAGCGUGGAUAAUAAACGGGCAUCAAGCAUAUCACCGAAGUUCUGGGCGCGAGAGCGCGGUAGGGGAGCAUUCCAUUCAGCGUCGAAGCAGUUUCGUGAGGAAUUGUGGAGCGUAUGGAAAAGCAAAUGUAGGCAUGAGUAACGAUAAUGCGGGAGAGUAACCCGCACACCGCAAGACCAAGGUUUCCUGAUCAACGCUAAUCGGAUCAGGGUUAGUCGGGUCCUAAGGGUAAGCCGAACGGCGAUCUCGAUGGAUAAUCGGUUAAUAUUCCGAUACUAACAUAUACCUCGAUGGAGAGACGAAGGAACGUAAGUGCCGCCACCUGACGGAAUAGGUGGUUAAAGGGCGUAGGUAUAGGGGCAGAUUAAGAGUUAGUCCUUGCUGAAACCUGACAGUACAGAGAGCCUACGGGCAAUUUGAUAGAGCACCCAAGUCGACUUCCGAGAAAAUCUUCUAAGUUAUAGUAUAUGUUACCCGUACCGUAAACCGACACAGGUGGUCGAGGAGAGUAUCCUAAGGUGCUCGAGUGAAUCACGGUUAAGGAACUAGGCAAAUUAACCCCGUAACUUCGGGAAAAGGGGUCCCUAUGAAAGUAGGGCGCAGCGAAGAGGUCCAGGCGACUGUUUAUCAAAAACACAGGGCUCUGCAAAUUCGAAAGAAGACGUAUAGGGCCUGACACCUGCCCGGUGCUGGAAGGUUAAGAGGGGAUGUCAUCGCAAGAGAAGCAUUGAAUCGAAGCCCCAGUAAACGGCGGCCGUAACUAUAACGGUCCUAAGGUAGCGAAAUUCCUUGUCGGGUAAGUUCCGACCUGCACGAAUGGUGUAAUGAUCUGGACACUGUCUCAACCGUGAGCUCAGUGAAAUUGUAGUAUCGGUGAAGAUGCCGAUUACCCGCGAUGGGACGAAAAGACCCCGUGAACCUUUACUAUAGCUUAACAUUGAAUUUGGGUAAUUGAUGUGUAGGAUAGGCCGGAGGCUUCGAAGCAGGUACGCCAGUAUUUGUGGAGCCGCUGUUGAAAUACGGCCCUUUGAUUAUUUGAGUUCUAACUCGCCUUUGCGAGGACACUGUUUGGUGGGUAGUUUGACUGGGGUGGUCGCCUCCAAAAGCGUAACGGAGGCUUCCCAAGGUACCCUCAGCACGAAUGGUAACCGUGCGCGGAGUGCAAUAGCAUAAGGGUGCUUGACUGUGAGACAUACAAGUCGACCAGGUACGAAAGUAGGGUAUAGUGAUCCGGUGGUUCUGUGUGGACUGGCCAUCGCUCAAAGGAUAAAAGGUACUCCGGGGAUAACAGGCUGAUCGCCGCCAAGAGCUCAUAUCGACGCGGCGGUUUGGCACCUCGAUGUCGGCUCGUCACAUCCUGGGGCUGGAGAAGGUCCCAAGGGUUCGGCUGUUCGCCGAUUAAAGUGGCACGCGAGCUGGGUUCAGAACGUCGUGAGACAGUUCGGUCUCUAUCUGUUGCGGGCGUAGGAAGAUUGAGGGGUCCUGACUUUAGUACGAGAGGACCGAGUUGGACGAACCUCCGGUGUAUCGGUUAUGCUGCCAAGUGUACUGCCGAGUAGCCGCGUUCGGUCUGGAUAAGCGCUGAAAGCAUCUAAGCGCGAAGCCAUCCCCGAGAUAAGUCUUCCCUUGA